rnacentral:tRNA from 1 species
UGCUCCUGUAGUGUAGAGGUAAUCACUGAGGACUUUGAAUCCUCCAACGCCAGUUCGAAUCUGGCCGGGAGCU